rnacentral:rRNA from 1 species
AGCGGCGGAUGGGUGAGUAACACGUGGGGAACCUGCCCCUAAGUCUGGGAUACCAUUUGGAAACAGGUGCUAAUACCGGAUAAUAAAGCAGAUCGCAUGAUCAGCUUUUGAAAGGCGGCGUAAGCUGUCGCUAAGGGAUGGCCCCGCGGUGCAUUAGCUAGUUGGUAAGGUAACGGCUUACCAAGGCGACGAUGCAUAGCCGAGUUGAGAGACUGAUCGGCCACAUUGGGACUGAGACACGGCCCAAACUCCUACGGGAGGCAGCAGUAGGGAAUCUUCCACAAUGGACGCAAGUCUGAUGGAGCAACGCCGCGUGAGUGAAGAAGGUUUUCGGAUCGUAAAGCUCUGUCGUUGGUGAAGAAGGAUAGAGGUAGUAACUGGCCUUUAUUUGACGGUAAUCAACCAGAAAGUCACGGCUAACUACGUGCCAGCAGCCGCGGUAAUACGUAGGUGGCAAGCGUUGUCCGGAUUUAUUGGGCGUAAAGCGAGCGCAGGCGGAAAAAUAAGUCUAAUGUGAAAGCCCUCGGCUUAACCGAGGAACUGCAUCGGAAACUGUUUUUCUUGAGUGCAGAAGAGGAGAGUGGAACUCCGUGUGUAGCGGUGGAAUGCGUAGAUAUAUGGAAGAACACCAGUGGCGAAGGCGGCUCUCUGGUCUGCAACUGACGCUGAGGCUCGAAAGCAUGGGUAGCGAACAGGAUUAGAUACCCUGGUAGUCCAUGCCGUAAACGAUGAGUGCUAAGUGU